GUUGACCUCGGAUCAGGUAGGAGUACCCGCUGAACUUAAGCAUAUCAAUAAGCGGAGGAAAA
rnacentral:rRNA from 1 species